UGCUAUGGCGUACACUGACACCAGGGGGCAGAUGCUUAAUGCAGUAGCUGCCCCCUGGUGGUCAGUGCGCUCCCACAGCCA